rnacentral:rRNA from 1 species
ACAAGGAUUCCCCUAGUAACUGCGAGUGAAGCGGGAAAAGCUCAAAUUUAAAAUCUGGCGGUCUCUGGCCGUCCGAGUUGUAAUCUAGAGAAGUGUUACCCGCGCUGGACCGUGUACAAGUCCCCUGGAAUGGGGCGUCAUAGAGGGUGAGAAUCCCGUCUCUGACACGGACUACCAGGGCUUUGUGGUAUGCUCUCAAAGAGUCGAGUUGUUUGGGAAUGCAGCUCAAAAUGGGUGGUAAAUUCCAUCUAAAGCUAAAUAUUGGCGAGAGACCGAUAGCGAACAAGUACCGUGAGGGAAAGAUGAAAAGAACUUUGGAAAGAGAGUUAAACAGUACGUGAAAUUGCUGAAAGGGAAACGCUUGAAGUCAGUCGCGUUGGCCGGGAAUCAGCCUCGCUUUUGUGUGGUGUACUUUCUGGUUGACGGGUCAGCAUCAAUUUUGACUGCUGGAAAAAGGCUUGGGGAAUGUGGCAGCUCCGGCUGUGUUAUAGCCCCUUGUCACAUACAGCGGUUGGGAUUGAGGAACUCAGCACGCCGCAAGGCCGGGUUUCGACCACGUUCGUGCUUAGGAUGCUGGCAUAAUGGCUUUAAGCGACCCGUCUUGAAACACGGACCAAGGAGUCUAACAUGCCUGCGAGUGUUUGGGUGGAAAACCCGAGCGCGUAAUGAAAGUGAAAGUUGAGAUCCCUGUCGUGGGGAGCAUCGACGCCCGGACCAGAACUUUUGGGACGGAUCCGCGGUAGAGCAUGUAUGUUGGGACCCGAAAGAUGGUGAACUAUGCCUGAAUAGGGUGAAGCCAGAGGAAACUCUGGUGGAGGCUCGUAGCGAUUCUGACGUGCAAAUCGAUCGUCAAAUUUGGGUAUAGGGGCGAAAGA